rnacentral:rRNA from 1 species
CCUACGGGAGGCAGCAGUGAGGAAUAUUGGACAAUGGAGGAGAGCCUGAUGCAGCGACGCAGCGUGAAUGAUGAAGGACUUAGGUGUGGAAAACUCUAUCUGUAGGGGAGUAAAUGGCGGUACGUGAGUAAGAAGCCCCGGAUAACUACGUGCCAGCAGCCACUGUAAUGCGUAGGGUGCCAGCGUUAUACGGAUGUACGGGGUGUAAAGGGAGCGUAGAGGGGAGUGAAGGUGUGUAGUGAAAGGCGGCGGCUCAACCCUCGGAAUGCUAUGGAAACUGUACGGCUGGAGUGCAGUUGAGGUAAGUGGAAUUCCUGGUGUAGCGGUGAAAUGCGUAGAUAUUAGGAAGAACACCAGUUGCGAAGGCGGCUUACUGGACUGUAACUGACGUUGAUGCUCGAAAGCGUGGGGAGCAAACAGGAUUAGAUACCCCUGUAGUC